rnacentral:rRNA from 1 species
GAUGAACGCUGGCGGCGUGCCUAACACAUGCAAGUCGAGCGAUUCUCUUCGGAGAAGAGCGGCGGACGGGUGAGUAACGCGUGGGUAACCUGCCCUGUACACACGGAUAACAUACCGAAAGGUAUGCUAAUACGAGAUAAUAUGCUUUUAUCGCAUGGUAGAAGUAUCAAAGCUCCGGCGGUACAGGGAUGGACCCGCGUCUGAUUAGCUAGUUGGUAAGGUAACGGCUUACCAAGGCGACGAUCAGUAGCCGACCUGAGAGGGUGAUCGGCCACAUUGGAACUGAGACACGGUCCAAACUCCUACGGGAGGCAGCAGUGGGGAAUAUUGCACAAUGGGCGAAAGCCUGAUGCAGCAACGCCGCGUGAGCGAUGAAGGCCUUCGGGUCGUAAAGCUCUGUCCUCAAGGAAGAUAAUGACGGUACUUGAGGAGGAAGCCCCGGCUAACCUACGUGCCAGCAGCCGCGGU